rnacentral:rRNA from 1 species
UACGUAGGGGGCUAGCGUUGUCCGGAAUCAUUGGGCGUAAAGAGCGUGUAGGCGGUCCGGUAAGUCCGUUGUGAAAGUCAAGGGCUCAACCCUUGAAUGCCGGCGGAUACUGUCGGGCUAGAGUCCGGAAGAGGCGAGUGGAAUUCCCGGUGUAGCGGUGAAAUGCGCAGAUAUCGGGAGGAACACCUAUGGCGAAGGCAGCUCGCUGGGACGGAACUGACGCUGAGACGCGAAAGCGUGGGGAGCAAACAGG